rnacentral:rRNA from 1 species
ACGGAAGGCAGCAGUGGGGAAUAUUGCACAAUGGGGGAAACCCUGAUGCAGCAACGCCGCGUGAAGGAAGACGGUCUUCGGAUUGUAAACUUCUGUUCUUAGUGAAGAUAAUGACGGUAGCUAAGGGGCAAGCCACGGCUAACUACGUGCCAGCAGCCGCGGUAAUACGUAGGUGGCAAGCGUUGUCCGGAAUUACUGGGUGUAAAGGGAGCGCAGGCGGGAAAUCAAGUUGGAUGUGAAAUGUCGGGGCUUAACCCCGGAACUGCAUCCAAAACUGAUUUUCUUGAGUGAAGUAGAGGUAGGCGGAAUUCCGAGUGUAGCGGUGAAAUGCGUAGAUAUUCGGAGGAACACCAGUGGCGAAGGCGGCCUACUGGGCUUUAACUGACGCUGAGGCUCGAAAGUGUGGGGAGCAAACAGGAUUAGAUACCCUGGUA